rnacentral:rRNA from 1 species
UUCUUUCUUGCUUCGGUGAGAGAGGGAGUGGCGGACGGGUGAGUAACACAUGGGUGACCUGCCCUGAAGUGAGGGAUACCGGCGAGAAAUCGCCGACAAGCCCGCAUAGGUUCUCUUUCGUAGAGGGAGAGAGCAAAGGUCCUUUACGGAGGGCUGCUUUGGGAUGGGCCUGUGGCCGAUUAGCUAGUUGGUGGGGUAAGAGCCUACCAAGGCGACGAUCGGUAGCUGGUCUGAGAGGACGAUCAGCCACACUGGGAUUGAGAACGGCCCAGACUCCUACGGGGGGCAGCAGUGAGGAAUUUUCCGCAAUGGAGGAAACUCUGACGGAGCAACGCCGCGUGCAGGAGGACGCUUUUCGGA